rnacentral:rRNA from 1 species
UUAAAUUAGUAAGAGCGUACGGUGGAUGUCUUGGCAUAUAGAGCAGAAGAAGGACGCAGAUAACGGCGAAACGCCUCGGGGAGUCGUACACAGGCAACGAUCCGGGGGUAUCCGAAUGGGGAAACCCGAUAAAGUUGAAAAGCUUUAUCAUCCUUAAGCCAAUACAUAACUUAAGAGAAGGCAACCCAGGGAAUUGAAACAUCUUAGUACCUGGAGGAGAAGAAAAUAACAAUGAUUCCGAGAGUAGUGGCGAGCGAAAUCGGAGCAGCCCAAACCAGCAACGAGCUGGGGUAGUAGGACCACAGAAAGUGAUUGAAAAGAGAUAGUCGAAUGGCAUUGAAAGGUCAGCCGCAGAAGGUGCAAGCCCUGUAGGCGAAAUCUCGAUUCACGCGAGUGGUAUCCUGAGUACGUCGGAGCACGUGAAACUCUGACGGAAUCAACCGGGACCAUCCGGUAAGGCUAAAUACUCCUAUAUGACCGAUAGUGAACCAGUACCAUGAGGGAAAGAUGAAAAGAACCGCGGGAGCGGAGUGAAAUAGAUCCUGAAACCGUAUGCUUACAAAAAGUCAGAGCACAUUAAGGUGUGAUGGCGUGCCUUUUGUAGAAUGAACCGGCGAGUUAUCUUUGCAUGCGAGGUUAAGCAGACAAUGCGGAGCCGUAGCGAAAGCGAAUCUUAAUAGGGUGGCAAGUAUGUAGAGAUAGACCCGAAGCCGUAGUGAUCUAGUCAUGAGCAGGUUGAAGGCUGGGUGAAUCCAGCUGGAGGACCGAACCGACCCCCGUUGAAAAGUUGGCGGAUGACUUGUGAUUAGCGGAGAAAUUCCAAUCGAACACGGCGAUAGCUGGUUCUCCCCGAAAUAGCUUUAGGGCUAGCGUUGAACGAAUCUACCCGGAGGUAGAGCACUGAAAUCAUGCGGGCGGCAUCUCGCCGUACCAAAUGAUAUCAAACUCCGAAUGCCGGGCAAGAAUAUUCAGCAGUCAGACUGUGGGUGAUAAGGUCCAUGGUCAAAAGGGAAACAGCCCAGAUCAUCAGAUAAGGUCCCAAAAUUUACGCUAAGUGGAAAAGGAUGUGGAGACGCGCAAACAGCUAGGAGGUUGGCUCAGAAGCAGCCAUCCUUCAAAGAGUGCGUAACAGCUCACUAGUCGAGUAUCUCUGCGCCGAAAAUUAACCGGGGCUAAGCGUAAUACCGAAUCUAUGGAUUUAUACUUAGGUAUAAGUGGUAGGGGAGCGUUCCAUACAGCAUUGAAGGUAUACCGUAAGGAGUGCUGGAGCGUAUGGAAGUGAGAAUGCCGGUGUGAGUAGCGAGAUGUGGGUGAGAAUCCCACACACCGAAAAACCAAGGUUUCCAGGGGAAGGUUCGUCCGCCCUGGGUAAGUCGGGACCUAAGGCCAGGCCGAAAGGCGUAGUCGAUGGACAGCAGGUUGAUAUUCCUGCACCCGCGAGUAAAGUGAUGGAGUGACAGAUAGGGUUAACUGUUGCCAAGGAACUCGGCAAAUUGACCCCGUACGUUAGCAAUAAGGGGUGCUCGAAAGAGCCGCAGUGAAUAGGCCCUAGCAACUGUUUAACUAAAACAUAGCUCUCUGCGAAGUCGCAAGACGAAGUAUAGGGGGUGACACCUGCCCGGUGCUGGAAGGUCAAGGGGAUUUGUCAGACGCAAGUCGAAGCAUUGAACCGAAGCCCCAGUGAACGGCGGCCGUAACUAUAACGGUCCUAAGGUAGCGAAAUUCCUUGUCAGGUAAGUUCUGACCCGCACGAAAGGUGUAAUGAUUUGGGCACUGUCUCGGCAGCAGACUCGGUGAAAUCUUAGUACCUGUGAAGAUGCAGGUUACCCGCAACUAGACGGAAAGACCCCAUGGAGCUUUACUGUAGUCUGCUAUUGAGUUUCGGUUAAGUAUGCACAGGAUAGGUGGGAGACGAUGAGACUGGUCUUUCGGGAUCAGAGGAGUCACUGUUGGGAUACCACUCUUACUUAAUUGAAAUUCUAACUCUAAGCCGUGAUCCGGCUAGAGGACCGUGGCAGAUGGGCAGUUUGACUGGGGCGGUCGCCUCCCAAAGAGUAACGGAGGCGCACAAAGGUACUCUCAGAAUGGUUGGAAAUCAUUCAUCGAGCGCAAACGCAGAAGAGUGCUUGACUGCGAGACAAACAAGUCGAGCAGGGACGAAAGUCGGUGUUAGUGAUCCGGCGGUGCAGAAUGGAAUGGCCGUCGCUUAACGGAUAAAAGCUACCCUGGGGAUAACAGGCUGAUCUCGCCCAAGAGUUCACAUCGACGGCGAGGUUUGGCACCUCGAUGUCGGCUCAUCGCAUCCUGGAGGUGAAUUCGCUUCCAAGGGUUGGGCUGUCCGCCCAUUAAAGCGGUACGCGAGCUGGGUUCAGAACGUCGUGAGACAGUUCGGUCCCUAUCUGUUGUGGGCGUUGGAAAUUUGAGGAGAGCUGCCCCUAGUACGAGAGGACCAGGGUGGACGUUCCUACGGUGCACCAGUUGUCACGCCAGUGGCAUAGCUGGAUAGCUGAGAACGGACCGGAUAAACGCUGAAGGCAUCUAAGCGUGAAACCGACUCCAAGAUUAGAUUUCCCAUCAUUUCAAAUGAAUAAGACCCCUUGAAGACGACGAGGUUGAUAGGUCAGAGAUGUAAGUGUAGCGAUACAUUCAGUUGACUGAUACUAAUAGGUCGAAGAUUUAUUCAC